AAUUCUCAAAACCCUUCCUUUGUUGGAAAGGGAUUUGGACUUGGAGGUCUUUUGCUCGCUUCACCUUUGAAGCGAGCUCCUCCUAAAUGGAUUAGUGGGGUCUGCUUUGCCGAUCCUUGACGUGAUAAGAUGUUUCUACGUCUCGGGGCUUUGGCACUGUACCUCCGCUUCUAACCGUCUCAUCGACAACGAUGGUGUUCCGGUCACCGCCGAUUCGUCGGCAGUUGGCUUGACCCACAAAACAA
rnacentral:misc_RNA from 1 species